AGGAUGAACGCUGGCGGUCUGCUUAACACAUGCAAGUCGAACGGGCGUAGCAAUACGUUAGUGGCGGACGGGUGAGUAACGCGUGAGAAUCUACCUUCAGGACGGAGACAACAGUUGGAAACGACUGCUAACCCCCGAUGUACUGAAAAGGCAAAUAUUUAUAGCCUGAAGAAGAGCUCGCGUCCGAUUAGCUAGUUGGAGAGGUAAAAGCUCACCAAGGCGACGAUCGGUAGCUGGUCUGAGAGGACGAUCAGCCACACUGGGACUGAGACACGGCCCAGACUCCUACGGGAGGCAGCAGUGGGGAAUUUUCCGCAAUGGGCGAAAGCCUGACGGAGCAAGACCGCGUGGGGGAAGAAGGCUCUUGGGUUGUAAACCCCUUUUCUCUGGGAAGAAAGUUGUGAAAGCAGCCUGACGGUACCAGAGGAAUCAGCAUCGGCUAACUCGUGCCAGCAGCCGAC
rnacentral:rRNA from 1 species